UGCGUAGGCGGAAUUUUAAGUCAGUGGUGAAAUCCUGCAGCUCAACUGUAGAACUGCCAUUGAUACUGAUCUUCUUGAAUUUAGUUGAGGUGGGCGGAACGUGUAAUGUAGCGGUGAAAUGCUUAGAUAUUACACAGAACACCGAUUGCGAAGGCAGCUCACUAAACUAACCUUGACGCUGAGGCACGAAAGCGUGGGUAGCGAACAGGAUUAGAACCCUGGUAGUCC
rnacentral:rRNA from 1 species